GACGAACGCUGGCGGCGUGCUUAACACAUGCAAGUCGAACGGAAAGGCCCUGCUUUUGUGGGGUGCUCGAGUGGCGAACGGGUGAGUAACACGUGAGUAACCUGCCCUUGACUUUGGGAUAACUUCAGGAAACUGGGGCUAAUACCGGAUAGGAGCUCCUGCUGCAUGGUGGGGUUGGAAAGUUUCGGCGGUUGGGGAUGGACUAGCGGCUUAUCAGCUUGUUGGUGGGGUAGUGGCUUACCAAGGCUUUGACGGGUAGCCGGCCUGAGAGGGUGACCGGCCACAUUGGGACUGAGAUACGGCCCAGACUCCUACGGGAGGCAGCAGUGGGGAAUAUUGCACAAUGGGCGGAAGCCUGAUGCAGCAACGCCGCGUGCGGGAUGACGGCCUUCGGGUUGUAAACCGCUUUCGCCUGUGACGAAGCGUGAGUGACGGUAAUGGGUAAAGAAGCACCGGCUAACUACGUG
rnacentral:rRNA from 1 species